UUUACCUGCAGGCCACGUAGGAAACAAAACCUCUCCAUUAGCUACAGUUCAUCACAGGCAGGUCAGUCAUCCACAGACACAUCAGUUCCUCAAAAUGCUAUUUUUUUUCCAGUGAAAAGUACACUCGGGUCAGGUUGUGUUCCCACCAGAACCCUACUUUUACUCAUUCUUUCAUCCAAUAAACAUUGAUGUAAUAAGCACUUGUGUUCCUCCAAGCCUUGAGCUGUAUGCUACGGGCAAGGGUUCCACUCAGAGAACUCCUGGACCAGGAAUGUGGAUGCCCGCAAGGUUGGCCCAUUUCUGGCUGAUGAGAGGGAUGUUUUUUGGAGUAACAGUCUGACACACUGGUAUUCUGACUUGCUAACUAGAAAUACCAGAGAGAUACUUUCAGAAAAUUCUGCUUGGUGACCCAGGAUCUCACUAAAACUCUGUCCCUGCCUCUUAAUGAAAGCAUGUCAGAUCCCUGAGCUUUGUGGAGCUGGUGGAAGAUAGUCUCUCCCUGUCACUCUUCUUCCCUACUUCCUUCCAUCUUCCUGUGCUAUUUCAUGAUCAUUCUAGGACUAGAUUUAUGAGCAGACUGGAGCUUUUGCAACACCAGGAUCUUCUUACUCAAAUCACAGACUGGUUUCUAAUGGCUUCCCAGGAGAUCUCCAAUCGGUUGGGGUCCUGUAUAUUGGCUUCCCAAGGUUUUCAAGGAAAGCAACUUCGUUCCAAGAGCUACAGAGGAACCUGGUACCGUUGUUUAGUGGGCUAUGGAGGAUAAAAUGAACGCAGACCUCUGCUUCUUCCUACUGGUAACUCCGAGCCCUCAAGGGUGUCUGACUCAACCUCUUCUCUUUAGGGUCCUUAGAAGAGGAUUUUCAAUCAUAGUUAAAAGACUGAGGAUAGCUUCCCUUGCGGUCUUCCUAAGUGCUCUUCCCUUCAUAAUCCAUAUGGAAGAGGGUGUCCAUACUGUCAUUUGUGCUUCCAAAACCAUGAGUCCAGUACUCGCGUAAAAUCCCCACUUCUGAUCUCAAUACAUUUAAGAUAUAGCCCUCGGCUCUUGCUAUUGUCCUGUAGGUCACUGACAUCUAUUGUCCCAUGGAUUAUGUCCCCACAUUGCAGAUUUUGGCACGUAGCUCAUAGCCUUUCUGUCCACCCUAACUCCUGCUAGCAUUUGACGCAGUUAAAAUCCCUUGGUAGGAGGCCUGUUCAACACCCUAACUUCCCACUUUUCAUCCCUCAGCCUCAAUGAGCAUUGCCUUCACUCUAGUUAAGCAAACCGGCCCCAUGGCCACACCUUGAACUUGCCAUCUCUCAGAAUUACCUGUGAAAUCACAAUAAUGACACUAUCCUCUCAGACUUAACCUUCUGUUUUUCAAGCUAUUGCAUUUCCUCUUAAUACAAUUACUCUGACUUCCUUCUGUUCUUUUAUCUCUCCACUUUCCGUCUAACUACACUUUCCCACUGAGCUUGGACUCUGCAACUGUAUUUACUAGUAUCAGGCUCUGAAACCUUUCUCUUUGACUAUACCCUUCUUUCUUUGUGAUUUCCUCAAUCCUGUGACCUUCUCUAAUUGGCCAUCUCAUUUGCCUCUUAGCCUGGUUCCCACAAAGGACAGUGAUUCCCAAACUUAGUUGUGGAUUAAAAUCUCUUGAGGACCUUUGUAAAUAUGCUGAUUCUCGGGCCCUAUCCUAGAUUCUCCAAGAGUCAAGCUCCCCACUUAACUAAUGCUAUUGAUCCAUAGUUCAGUAUUUGAGAACCAGAAUUUCUAAAGGAUUUACAUAGCUAUUCCUCUAGUAAAGAGUUCCAUGGGCACCUGACUUGGGGAAACACUAGGUUCAGCAGUAUAUUUUUUUAAGUUUUUAUUCCAAUUCCAGCUAUUUAACACACAGUGUUAUAUUAGUUUCAAGCAUACAAUAUAGUGAUUCAACAAUUCCACACAUCACCUGGUGCUUCUCAUGACAAGUGCCGUCCUUAAUCCCCAUCACCUGUUUCACCCAUUCCCCCACCCUCCUCCCUUCUGGUAGGUUAAGCAAUACUGAACCAUUUUUUUCACCAUGGAACUCCUUAGAUGCCAAAAUGCCAGCGUGCAUUAAUUUCCCAAGAAGAGGAUAUGCAUUUAUUUGACCAUCUAACUUCGUGUUUUGCCAGGUAGUCUAGAGCUCUAGUUUUCUGGAACACACUCUAGGAUAUGGCCCAUACUCAUCAGCUCCUCAUUACCCUCCGUUUGCUCUUCACCGAUUACGAUUAGGCAUGUGCCCCCACUGUUCUGUCUAAAUUCCUCGGGGAAUGGUAACCUGUCGUCACUCUUCAAUCUUGUUACUAGAUAACUUUCUGUUUUCUUAAAGCUCCUCCCUGGGUUUCCACGAGCCCAGACUCUCCUGGUUCUCCUCCUCUGAACUCAGUAGCCUCUGUUGGCUUCUCUUCCUGUGUCACCCUCCCCUAAAUGUGUGUGUUCCUGUUUGACCUGCUUCAGAAGUAGCAGGAGGGAGUGUGGAACAAUUGGACCACGAGGGCUUCAGGGGAGGGCUGUAUUGUGGAGGCCUCAUGGAUAGGGGAGGGCUACAGAUUUGGGGUUUGAAGGACCCUGGAAACAUGCCUUUUUCUACAGUCGUGUUCUGCUGUUCGUGCAUCUGCUGUCAGAUCAGAAGGCCAAGUGGUGUAAGAACUCCAAAGUUACAAAUCGCACGACUUAUCAAUGUACUAAAAAAUAAAGCAGCAUGGGAAUAAAGAAACAGCAUAAGAAGAGAGAGCAAAGGGAGGUAUACUCACCUCAAGAAAGGCCUUAUGGAAUGCAUCUGAGACGUAGAGGUCACUCCGGCCUUCUGCAACAAUACCUAGAAGGAAGACCAGAGAAUGUUCUACGAAAAGGAGGAAGAAUGGUGGAUUGGAGGAACCAAAACAACAGAACACUGUUACUGAAGUCUCACAGCUAGAGAAGUCUGGCCACAUCUGUUGUCCAAGUGACCUCAAGGAAAACCCAUGAGCCCUUUGGAAUAUCAGUUCUUUCACCUUGGCCCAGACUGCCUUGGGGGAGGGGAGCAGAGGGAAGAGGAACGUCCUUCCUAGGCUCACCUGGGAGCUUGGACUUCUCAGGGUUGAACAGGUCCACGAGGCCCAUGUCUUGCAGCUGCUCCUUCACGCUGAAGCUGUCCUCGAUGCGGAAGCGGGGCAUGUGGACCACCAGCAGGGUCUCCGCUGUCUCAUCCAGCCAUUCCUGCAGCACCUCCGGGGUGAGCUCCUGCUCCACCUUGGCCAGGCUCUUCUCCGGCUUGGGCAGGAUGAGCACCAUGGUGAUGUCAUCGCCCUUGAAGGGCAGCUCGAGCACCUGGGUGCCUUCUGCCACUCGCCGGUAGUGGAACUUGCCUUCCUGGUACAUCAUGGACGCCGAACACGACUCCCCAUCAGCCUUGUAGAACAGUUCCUUCCUUGUGUUCUCGGGGCUGAACUUCGACUUCCACAGGCCCUGGGAGGAGACACCAGGCGGGAGAGAGUCACAAAGCAGGAAGACCAAAGACAUCCGUAGGAGAAUAUUGACAUGGGAAAUUGUCACAUUAUUUUCUCCGGCAAAUAUGUUAGCAGAAUUAUUAGGAGAAAAGAUUAGAGGGAUAUGCAUGAAAAGGAUAACAAUGACUAUGUCGGAA